rnacentral:rRNA from 1 species
UAGGGAAUCUUCGGCAAUGGACGAAAGUCUGACCGAGCAACGCCGCGUGAGUGAAGAAGGUUUUCGGAUCGUAAAACUCUGUUGUUAGAGAAGAACAAGGACGUUAGUAACUGAACGUCCCCUGACGGUAUCUAACCAGAAAGCCACGGCUAACUACGUGCCAGCAGCCGCGGUAAUACGUAGGUGGCAAGCGUUGUCCGGAUUUAUUGGGCGUAAAGCGAGCGCAGGCGGUUUCUUAAGUCUGAUGUGAAAGCCCCCGGCUGAACCGUGGAGGGUCAUUGGAGACUGGGGGACUUGGGUGCAGAAGAGGAGAGUGGAAUUCCCGGUGUAGCGGUGAAAUGCGUAGAUAUAAGGGGGAACAACAGUGGCGAAGGCGGUGCUCUGGUCUGUAACUGACACUGAGGCACGAAAGCGUGGGGAGCAAACAGG